AGGUUAAGUGAAUAAGGGCGCACGGUGGAUGCCUUGGCACUAGGAGCCGAUGAAGGACGGGACUAACACCGAUAUGCUUUGGGGAGCUGUACGUAAGCUAUGAUCCAGAGAUUUCCGAAUGGGGGAACCCAACAUCUUUAAUAGGAUGUUACGAUUGUGUGAAUACAUAGCACAUUCGAGGUAGACGCAGAGAACUGAAACAUCUAAGUACCUGCAGGAAGAGAAAGAAAAUUCGAUUCCCUGAGUAGCGGCGAGCGAAACGGGAAAAGCCCAAACCAGCAAGCUUGCUUGUUGGGGUUGUAGGACUCCAAUAUGGUAGUUCUUUCAGAUAGUCGAAUGACUUGGAAAAGUCAGUCAAAGAGGGUAAAAACCCCGUAGACGAAAUGUGGAAGACACCUAGGAGGAUCCUGAGUACGGCGGAACACGAGAAAUUCCGUCGGAAUCCGGGAGGACCAUCUCCCAAGGCUAAAUACUCCCUAGUGACCGAUAGUGAACCAGUACCGUGAGGGAAAGGUGAAAAGCACCCCGGAAGGGGAGUGAAAUAGAACCUGAAACCGUGUGCCUACAACAAGUCAAAGCCCGUUAAUGGGUGAUGGCGUGCCUUUUGUAGAAUGAACCGGCGAGUUACGAUUGCAUGCGAGGUUAAGUUGAAGAGACGGAGCCGCAGCGAAAGCGAGUCUGAAUAGGGCGUUUGAGUAUGUAGUCGUAGACCCGAAACCAUGUGAUCUACCCAUGUCCAGGUUGAAGGUGCGGUAAAACGCACUGGAGGACCGAACCCACGUACGUUGAAAAGUGCGGGGAUGAGGUGUGGGUAGCGGAGAAAUUCCAAACGAACUUGGAGAUAGCUGGUUCUCUCCGAAAUAGCUUUAGGGCUAGCCUCGGAAUUGAGAAUGAUGGAGGUAGAGCACUGUUUGGACUAGGGGCCCAUCUCGGGUUACCGAAUUCAGAUAAACUCCGAAUGCCAUUCAUUCAUAUCCGGGAGUCAGACUGUGAGUGAUAAGAUCCAUAGUCGAAAGGGAAACAGCCCAGACCACCAGCUAAGGUCCCAAAAUAUAUGUUAAGUGGAAAAGGAUGUGGGGUUGCACAGACAACUAGGAUGUUGGCUUAGAAGCAGCCACCAUUUAAAGAGUGCGUAAUAGCUCACUAGUCGAGUGACCCUGCGCCGAAAAUGUACCGGGGCUAAACAUAUUACCGAAGCUGUGGAGUACACCUUUAGGUGUAUUGGUAGGAGAGCGUUCUAAGGGCGUYGAAGGCAGAUCGUGAGGACUGCUGGAGCGCUUAGAAGUGAGAAUGCCGGUAUGAGUAGCGAAAGACAGGUGAGAAUCCUGUCCACCGAAUGACUAAGGUUUCCUGGGGAAGGCUCGUCCGCCCAGGGUUAGUCGGGACCUAAGCCGAGGCCGACAGGCGUAGGCGAUGGAUAACAGGUUGAUAUUCCUGUACCCGUUGUUUUUGUUUGAGCAAUGGAGGGACGCAGGAGGCUAAGGAAUGCAGACGAUCGGAAAUGUCUGUCCAAGCAGUAAGUCUGAAGAGGAGUCAAAUGCUUCUUUUCUUAAGGACAAGCUGUGAUGGGGAGGGAAAUAAUAGUACCGAAGUUCCUGAUGUCACACUGCCGAGAAAAGCUUCUAGUGAGAAAACAGCGGCCCGUACCGCAAACCGACACAGGUAGUCGAGGAGAGAAUCCUAAGGUGAGCGAGAGAACUCUCGUUAAGGAACUCGGCAAAAUGACCCCGUAACUUCGGGAGAAGGGGUGCUGAUCAUACGAUCAGCCGCAGUGAAUAGGCCCAAGCGACUGUUUAUCAAAAACACAGGUCUCUGCAAAAUCGUAAGAUGAAGUAUAGGGGCUGACGCCUGCCCGGUGCUGGAAGGUUAAGAGGAGUGCUUAGCGCAAGCGAAGGUACGAAUUGAAGCCCCAGUAAACGGCGGCCGUAACUAUAACGGUCCUAAGGUAGCGAAAUUCCUUGUCGGGUAAGUUCCGACCCGCACGAAAGGCGUAACGAUUUGGGCACUGUCUCAACGAGAGACUCGGUGAAAUUUUAGUACCUGUGAAGAUGCAGGUUACCCGCGACAGGACGGAAAGACCCCAUGGAGCUUUACUGUAGUUUGAUAUUGAGUGUCUGUACCGCAUGUACAGGAUAGGUAGGAGCCGUAGAAAUCGGAACGCUAGUUUCGAUGGAGGCGCUGGUGGGAUACUACCCCUGCGUUAUGGCCACUCUAACCCGCACCACUAAUCGUGGUGGGAGACAGUGUCAGAUGGGCAGUUUGACUGGGGCGGUCGCCUCCUAAAAGGUAACGGAGGCGCCCAAAGGUUCCCUCAGAAUGGUUGGAAAUCAUUCGAAGAGUGUAAAGGCAGAAGGGAGCUUGACUGCGAGACCAACAAGUCGAGCAGGGACGAAAGUCGGGCUUAGUGAUCCGGUGGUUCCGCAUGGAAGGGCCAUCGCUCAACGGAUAAAAGCUACCCUGGGGAUAACAGGCUUAUCUCCCCCAAGAGUCCACAUCGACGGGGAG
rnacentral:rRNA from 1 species